AUGCUUUGAGACUUUGAGCUGAAACUGAGAUAACACAAUGAGUUCGUCAUAGUGAUAAUCUUCAAGAACAGGAUUUAUCAUUUUAACCCAAGGAAACUAGAAUGGACAAAUAAACAAACAAAAUCCCUGAUAUUUAAGGGUUUGCACGAGAGUAUCACGUUGGUUUUAGAUUUUGACAAGACUUCUGCUUUUGAUGCUUAUCCUUACCAGAGAGUGAGAAGACCUUUUUACCGUCACAGCUCUUUUCAAAAGACAUGGGAAAGCAUCUGGAAAGCCAGAUUUUAACAGUGGGCAAGUUAUAAAUAGUAACAUACAGAAUCACACUCCGAACGGAAAUUAUUUGAUUUUUUUCAUUACAACAUUAUAUUACGUUGACUCUGGUUUCCGUGUACUAGAAGCAUGUAUUAUAUCCUUAUCAUAUCCUUAGGUUCCUAGACACAGAGAUCAAUUAACAUAUGUCAAGGGUAAUUUUUACAGUCUAACUGCACCUGGCUAACUAAUAGCACCUACAGAUAUGGACAGAACAAAGUACCAGAAUUUAUGUAUCUUAAAGGAAUUAUUUCCUGUCAGAUGAUGAAGAUGAAAUAAUGGAAAGUAUUCGCUUUUUGUCCAGUCUGUUGGGUUUGAUAUUUUUAUAACUCUUAACCCAGACGAAAUCUUCAACCAUUUUGAAUGUGAAAAAAAAAAUAGAAUUUCUGUCUUUUAUAAGGUACACAUUCAUUAAAAAGGAAACUAAGAAACCAUCUUUAGAGUAAUUCCUUCUAUAAGAAAGAGUCAACACUCCCAACUUGUUCCCUCCACCACACCAAGCUACAGCUUAAAGACACAAUUCUAUAAUUAAAGUGAAAAUAAAUUUUACUUUGUCUUAAUUGAUGCCA
rnacentral:lncRNA from 1 species